UACCAGCACCCCGAGUGGUCGGGACGAUUAUUGGGCCUAAAGCAUCCGUAGCCGGCCUUACAAGUCCCCCGUUAAAUCCAACUGCUUAACAGAUGGGCUGCGGAGGAUACUAUAAGACUGGGAGGCAGGAGAGGCAAGCGGUACUCAGUGGGUAGGGGUAAAAUCCGUUGAUCCAUUGAAGACCACCAGUGGCGAAGGCGGCUUGCCAGAAUGCGCUCGACGGUGAGGGAUGAAAGCGUGGGGAGCGAACAGG
rnacentral:rRNA from 1 species